rnacentral:rRNA from 1 species
UACGGAGGAUGCGAGCGUUAUCCGGAUUUAUUGGGUUUAAAGGGUGCGCAGGCGGAUUUUUAAGUCAGCGGUCAAAUCGUGGGGCUCAACCCCAUCCAGCCGUUGAAACUGGGGAUCUAGAGUGUGCGAGAGGUAUGCGGAAUGCGUGGUGUAGCGGUGAAAUGCAUAGAUAUCACGCAGAACCCCGAUUGCGAAGGCAGCAUACCGGAGCACAACUGACGCUCAGGCACGAAAGCGUGGGUAUCGAACAGG